rnacentral:rRNA from 1 species
GACGAACCGUCCAAACGUUAUUCGGAAUCACUGGGCUUAAAGGGCGCGUAGGCGGCCGAGCGGGUCACGGGUGAAAUCCUCCAGCUUAACUGGAGAACUGCCCUUGACACCACUGCGGCUCGAGGAAGGAAGGGGUCAUGGGAACUGUCGGUGGAGCGGUGAAAUGCGUUGAUAUCGACAGGAACGCCGGUGGCGAAAGCGCAUGACUGGUCCUUUUCUGACGCUGAGGCGCGAAAGCCAGGGGAGCAAACGGG